rnacentral:rRNA from 1 species
UACGAAGGGGGCUAGCGUUGCUCGGAAUCACUGGGCGUAAAGGGUGCGUAGGCGGGUCUUUUAAGUCAGGGGUGAAAUCCUGGAGCUCAACUCCAGAACUGCCUUUGAUACUGAGGAUCUUGAGUUCGGGAGAGGUGAGUGGAACUGCGAGUGUAGAGGUGAAAUUCGUAGAUAUUCGCAAGAACAUCAGUGGCGAAGGCGGCUGCCUGGCCCAAUACUGACACUCAGGUGCGACAGCGUGGGGAGCAAACAGGAUUAGAU